AGAAGAAGAAGCCACUCCAGAUGGUGCUAUUGCAGAAUACAGAAGAGAAAAGCAAAAGUAUGAAGCUUUGAGGAAGCAACAGUCAAAGAAGGGAACUUCCCGGGAAGAUCAGACUCUUGCACUGCUGAACCAGUUUAAAUCUAAACUCACUCAAGCAAUUGCUGAAAUGCCUGAAAAUGACACUCCUGAAACAGAAGUCGAAGAUGAUGAAGGAUGGAUGUCACAUGUACUUCAGUUUGAGGAUAAAAGCAGAAAAGUGAAAGAUGCAAGCAUGCAAGACUCAGAUACAUUUGAAAUCUAUGAUCCUCGGAAUCCAGUGAAUAAAAGGAGGAGGGAAGAAAGCAAAAAGCUGAUGAGAGAGAAAAAAGAAAGAAGAUAAAAUAAGAAUAACAGUAACUAGAACUUGCCGGAAAUGUACCAGCAAUGGCCUUGUAACAGCCAUUGUUCCCAACAGCAUCACGUAGGGGUGUGAAAAGAAGUAUUUCCGAACCUGUUGUCUGGUUUUGAAAAACAAUUACCUUGUUUUGCAAAUUGUGGAAUGAUGUAAGUAAAUGCUUUCAGUUACUGGUAUAUGUGUUUUUUCCUAACUGACCUUUUAUAUUGCUAAAUCUGAAAUAAAAUAAUUUUCCUUCCACGUUACAUGUUAACCAUUUGCAGACUAUGCAAACCUGUUUGUGUCCUUUCACCCUAAAAUAUGUGAAGGCUUCCUUUUCAAGAUUUUUUAAUAAGAAGUUCUUACAGAAAGAAAAUUUGUGGGAAACCUCCCCUUCACUAACUUUGGAGUAAAAUAUAAGAUUAUAAAAAAAAAUAGAAUAUAAA